CCUUUUUAAGGAUUUUAACUUCACUUCCUAUGUACCGUGAAACUAGCGAAUGGCUCAUUAAAUCAGUUAUCGUUUAUUUGAUAGUACCCUACUACAUGGAUACCUGUGGUAAUUCUAGAGCUAAUACAUGCGCAAAACCCCGACUUCGGAAGGGGUGUAUUUAUUAGAUAAAAAACCAAUGCCCCUCGGGGCUCCUUGGUGAUUCAUAAUAACUUCACGAAUCGCAUGGCCUUGCGCCGGCGAUGGUUCAUUCAAAUUUCUGCCCUAUCAACUUUCGAUGGUAGGAUAGUGGCCUACCAUGGUGGCAACGGGUAACGGGGAAUUAGGGUUCGAUUCCGGAGAGGGAGCCUGAGAAACGGCUACCACAUCCAAGGAAGGCAGCAGGCGCGCAAAUUACCCAAUCCCGAUACGGGGAGGUAGUGACAAUAAAUACUGAUACAGGGCUCUUUUGGGUCUUGUAAUUGGAAUGAGAACAAUCUAAAUCCCUUAACGAGGAACAAUUGGAGGGCAAGUCUGGUGCCAGCAGCCGCGGUAAUUCCAGCUCCAAUAGCGUAUAUUAAAGUUGUU
rnacentral:rRNA from 1 species